GAUGAACGCUGGCGGCGUGCUUAACACAUGCAAGUCGAACGGAAAGGCUCCUGCUUGCAGGGGUACUCGAGUGGCGAACGGGUGAGUAACACGUGGGUGAUCUGCCCUGCACUUCGGGAUAAGCCUGGGAAACUGGGUCUAAUACCGGAUAGGACGAUGGUUUGGAUGCCAUUGUGGAAAGUUUUUCGGUGUGGGAUGAGCUCGCGGCCUUUCAGCUUGUUGGUGGGGUAAUGGCCUACCAAGGCGUCGACGGGUAGCCGGCCUGGGAGGGUGUACGGCCACAAUGGGGCUGGGAUAAGGCCCAGGCUUCUACGGGGGGCAGCAGGUGGGAAUAAUGCACAAAGGGCGGAAGGCCGAUGCAGCGACGCCGGGGGGGGGAUGACGGCCUUCGGGUUGGAAACUCCUUUCGCUAGGGACGAAGCGUUUUGUGACGGUACCUGGAGAAGAAGCACCGGCUAACUACGUG
rnacentral:rRNA from 1 species